GGAUUAUUGUGAUUCCAACCAUACAGAGUCUGAUCAUAGCUCCAACUGCUAUGACAUAAGCCACGCCUUCAGACACGCCCUCACUGGUUUGUUAAUAGCCUGCCUGUGUGAUGUGCUCUUGGUUUAGCCACACCCACUGCUGUCAUGAUUGGCACUGGAAUUGGAGCUAGUAAUGGGAUAUUAAUAAAGGGAGGAGAACCACUGGAAACAACGCACGAAGAUAAGGCCAUUAUUUUUGAUAAAACUGGUACUCUAACUGAAGGGAAACCAGCCGUAUCUCAUAUUAUGCCCUACCUGCUCCUUUAGUCGGUUCUUGUCAAUAGUGGGUGUGGCCAAGAGCAACAGUGACUACCCUCUGGAAAAAACAAUCACUGCCUAUGCUAAAGAAGUAAGAAAAGAUAAUGUCCUCUUACUCUCUUUCUUUAAACUUUUAAAUAAUGACAGUGAGUCUGAUGAUGAUGAUAUGCCUACUGUUAGUUUCUGUAAAGGAGAUAUUUCCUUGGUUGACCUGAGCAUCUGUCAUUAAAUAGAAUAGAAGGAGACAGAAGAGGAAGUACAAAUGUAUAGGAAACCCUCAGCUACGAGGAGACCAAUGAGACAUCAAGCAUAUACUUACGGGUAUAUACAGUGUCACAUCCAGGACUAUCAGUUCAAGGACUCUAGAGUUAAAGCUAAAAUUGAGUAAAUGAAAGAAAAGGAGAGGGAUGUAUGAUAGCUGCCAUGGCUCGCUUCUACAGCUUCAAACUUGUCAACAUCAUAACUACUGUACAUGUAUGUGUUCAAUAAUAUUAUUUUUUAUGGCGUACCAUACAUGCUGUACUCCAGUAGUACUACAGAAUACAGUUCAAUAAGUCCAUUCUGUUUUGUGGUUCACUGGAAAUUAAUAAUUAUUUUUUGUUAUUAUGCAACUAAAAUUUUUUGUUCAGUGCAUGUAGCAUUCAUCACCAGUGGCGGUGCCAGGUCAAUGAAACAGAGGGGGCACUAUAUACAGGAAAGGGCACUAUAAUGUCAGUCAAGAAUGGCUUGGGAGGCAUUUAAUUAGA